rnacentral:rRNA from 1 species
UUAAGUUAGAAAGGGCGCACGGUGGAUGCCUUGACACUAGGAGUCGAUGAAGGACGGGACUAACGCCGAUAUGCUUCGGGGAGCUGUAAGUAAGCUUUGAUCCGAAGAUUUCCGAAUGGGGAAACCCACCAUACGUAAUGGUAUGGUAUCCUUAUCUGAAUACAUAGGGUAAGGAAGACAGACCCAGGGAACUGAAACAUCUAAGUACCUGGAGGAAGAGAAAGCAAAUGCGAUUUCCUGAGUAGCGGCGAGCGAAACGGAACAUAGCCCAAACCAAGAGGCUUGCCUCUUGGGGUUGUAGGACAUUCUAUACGGAGUUACAAAGGAACGAGGUAGACGAAGCGACCUGGAAAGGUCCGUCGUAGAGGGUAACAACCCCGUAGUCGAAACUUCGUUCUCUCUUGAAUGUAUCCUGAGUACGGCGGAACACGUGAAAUUCCGUCGGAAUCUGGGAGGACCAUCUCCCAAGGCUAAAUACUCCCUAGUGAUCGAUAGUGAACCAGUACCGUGAGGGAAAGGUGAAAAGCACCCCGGAAGGGGAGUGAAAGAGAUCCUGAAACCGUGUGCCUACAAAUAGUCAGAGCCCGUUAACGGGUGAUGGCGUGCCUUUUGUAGAAUGAACCGGCGAGUUACGAUCCCGUGCGAGGUUAAGCUGAAGAGGCGGAGCCGCAGCGAAAGCGAGUCUGAAUAGGGCGUUUAGUACGUGGUCGUAGACCCGAAACCAGGUGAUCUACCCAUGUCCAGGGUGAAGUUCAGGUAACACUGAAUGGAGGCCCGAACCCACGCACGUUGAAAAGUGCGGGGAUGAGGUGUGGGUAGCGGAGAAAUUCCAAUCGAACCUGGAGAUAGCUGGUUCUCCCCGAAAUAGCUUUAGGGCUAGCCUUAAGUGUAAGAGUCUUGGAGGUAGAGCACUGAUUGGACUAGGGGUCCUCAUCGGAUUACCGAAUUCAGUCAAACUCCGAAUGCCAAUGACUUAUCCUUAGGAGUCAGACUGCGAGUGAUAAGAUCCGUAGUCAAAAGGGAAACAGCCCAGACCGCCAGCUAAGGUCCCAAAGUGUGUAUUAAGUGGAAAAGGAUGUGGAGUUGCUUAGACAACUAGGAUGUUGGCUUAGAAGCAGCCACCAUUUAAAGAGUGCGUAAUAGCUCACUAGUCGAGUGACUCUGCGCCGAAAAUGUACCGGGGCUAAAUACACCACCGAAGCUGCGGAUUGAUACCAAUGGUAUCAGUGGUAGGGGAGCGUUCUAAGGACAGUGAAGUCAGACCGGAAGGACUGGUGGAGUGCUUAGAAGUGAGAAUGCCGGUAUGAGUAGCGAAAGACGGGUGAGAAUCCCGUCCACCGAAUGCCUAAGGUUUCCUGAGGAAGGCUCGUCCGCUCAGGGUUAGUCAGGACCUAAGCCGAGGCCGACAGGCGUAGGCGAUGGACAACAGGUUGAUAUUCCUGUACCACCUCUUUAUCGUUUGAGCAAUGGAGGGACGCAGAAGGAUAGAAGAAGCGUGCGAUUGGUUGUGCACGUCCAAGCAGUUAGGCUGAUAAGUAGGCAAAUCCGCUUAUCGUAAAGGCUGAGCUGUGAUGGGGAAGCUCCUUAUGGAGCGAAGUCUUUGAUUCCCCGCUGCCAAGAAAAGCUUCUAGCGAGAUAAAAGGUGCCUGUACCGCAAACCGACACAGGUAGGCGAGGAGAGAAUCCUAAGGUGUGCGAGAGAACUCUGGUUAAGGAACUCGGCAAAAUGACCCCGUAACUUCGGGAGAAGGGGUGCUUUCUUAACGGAAAGCCGCAGUGAAUAGGCCCAAGCGACUGUUUAGCAAAAACACAGCUCUCUGCGAAGCCGUAAGGCGAAGUAUAGGGGGUGACACCUGCCCGGUGCUGGAAGGUUAAGGAGAGGGGUUAGCGUAAGCGAAGCUCUGAACUGAAGCCCCAGUAAACGGCGGCCGUAACUAUAACGGUCCUAAGGUAGCGAAAUUCCUUGUCGGGUAAGUUCCGACCCGCACGAAAGGUGUAACGAUUUGGGCACUGUCUCAACCAGAGACUCGGUGAAAUUAUAGUACCUGUGAAGAUGCAGGUUACCCGCGACAGGACGGAAAGACCCCGUGGAGCUUUACUGUAGCCUGAUAUUGAAUUUUGGUACAGUUUGUACAGGAUAGGCGGG